UCUACUCCAUGGGCUUCAAAUCACUACCUGGGAAACUGCUGUGGUUGGAGCUGCAGUAGGCUGGUGGAUAAAUCUUCUGUCCCAUCCUCUUCACUUCAUCUGGGAUUCUCAAAGAUACUCACACAUCAGAGAAGGGAUGUAGUACUUCCCGUGAAGGAGGAGAGCAAGCUGAUGUGGCUGACUAGGAACUACAGAACUGAUCAUGUUUGUUAAAUCUUGAUGCUGCACCAACACAAUGCUGUCCACAUCUGGAUGCCACAGGGAAAAUGAGCUGAGUGCCCAGUGAACCUUAUUUCCACAGAGAACCUGGCAGAACUCAUCACACCUUGUAGCUGACACCUUCCUGUAGCAGGCUCAGGUAAAGGACAAGGACCCAGAUCUUCAAACAUGUCUGGUGGUUCUGAAUGCAGUGCAAUGUUUUGAAAUCAAUUUCCCAGCUGUGGUGAGUCCCACAAAUCUGAAAUUACCUUUCCUCUUUAUUUCCUUGAAUACACUACAGAUCUUCUCUGUUUCCUUGAACCUUUCAAGAGUUCCAGCCUGACCACACUUGUGUUGUACUAUGGAGUGCCUAGAAAAUAUAGAUGCCCUAAAUAAGUAGGAAAAUAUUCUUACUUUUUAUCAGGUAUCUUCUCCAGUGAUAAGGUUUGGUAUAUUUUCCAUUUUGCAUUUAUUUCCAGGAGAAUCCCACACUAACUAAAACAUCAAUCAAUUUAAAACACAGCUAAUGAGCUUUCUUUGUCCUCUGUCUCAUGCUGGAAAAUCCCACCUGAUCCCUAAUUAACAAAUUGAUUUAUUAAAAGUAUAACUAAAUGGCCUCCCUUUGUUCUUUUCUUCCAGGGGCAUAAUCACACCUGAUCCCAAAUUAUCAUAUUGAUUUAUUUAAAAUUAAAAUAUAUGCAUUACAUAGUUUCUUUAUCAUGCCUGCCUCAAACAUAUGUUCCAAUUAAAUGCUGAUUUUACCCCUCACAGAUCAAAUACUUUUGGAGAAAAGUAGUUGUUUAAAAUGCUACAUUGUCCCUCCUGGUGUUCAAAUAUUUGAGUGUUUUUACUGCUGAGGUCAAUAUGAAGUCACUCGGUAGCCUCUUGGACGAUCAGCCUAGCAGAUCCAUUCCAAGAAAUCAUCCUCCCACUAGUGUGAGUGGAUCUUUGCAGAGUCUGUGCAUCCAGUGUUUUUGCUAGGUCGUGGAUUUUGCUCCAAAGCACUGCCAGUCUCCAGUGGCGCUCCUGCCUCACACAGAAUGAGCAGCCAGGCUGGGGGGAGCAGAGCAGGACUUGUGUGCCAGGCUGAUUCACCUCUCGUUUGCAGCUUGUGACAAGUUUAGCUCAGCGUGGGAGAGUGUGCAUGAAGAGCAGGAGCUCAGACACACCACUCAUCCCCCAGCCCUGUCCUUGGGCUUGCAGCGAUGCGAACACACCUGCAGGCAGCACGAGGCCAUUGAUUCCUGGUCCGUAAGCACCGAGGCCUGCUCGGCCUCCUGCUCCACAGAAAGGAGCAGUGGGCCGCUCGCUGCAGACAGAGCCCUCCGAGAGAGGAACUGAGAAAUAACGGGCUGCCCUGGAUGGAGCAAGAGAGAAUGGCACAGUCUCUGGCAAGAAAGAGGUGAGCUUACAGGUUAUGUGAAUUUCUUGCAUCAGAAGGAGCAGCCGGGAAAUGUCCCAGUCUGGUGCCAGCCAGCCAGGCUCCUUGGAGCACAGGCCAAGGCAGCAGGGCCCAUCCCAUGCUGGUAAACCACCCCCACACGCAUCCCCUUUUCUCUCUGAACUGUUCCUGAAGCCUCGCUGUUCCUCUGGUCCAUAAAAAAGACAAUCAGACUGAAUUCCAAGGGAAAGACAGUACCCAGAGGCUGCUUGUCCCUGCUGCCAGAGGCCCUGCUCCCAGGACGGGCACAGUAACCCUACACGGGUGACCUGGUAACCCAGCAAGCUCCUGAGCUCUCUCUGAGCACUGCAGAACCCACCCCACCACAGCUGUGCAAAGCUUGAAAAGGGACCUGAAUGGGACCCAGCACAUCUGCCAAGAGAAAUCUGAAGCGCUGUUUGCAACAAAGGACCCGAGGUGUCAGCCUGCCCUACAGGAACGCUCUUGGACUUUGGGAUGUUGUUCCAUGCUAAAGUGCUCAGGUGUUCCCAAGGAGGGGUGGUGCUCUCUUUAGGGCAACACUAGUCUGCUUUUGUCUUCCAGGCCCUCACUCAGGUUCCCAGAGCAAGGCUACAACAUGUCUGGCUCCAUGACUUAAUUGAGUGGUGAUGAGUCCAGAGAAAGGCACUGUCUGUUAUCCAGCAAACCACAUCCUAGUGGAAGAUUGCUUGGAGGGUGUUUGAUACUGUAAUAUCUGAGAGAAAGGAUCCAAAUGAAACCAUAAGAAAGAUCUCCGGGCCAAGCUGAAGUCAAAGCCUCUGAGUCCUCCUGUCAGAGCUUUUAUUGAGGGAAUUGAAAUGCCACUGGGAAUAUUUGAGCUAUUAGAGAUGGGCCAUGGCAGAUCAAUGUUCAGCAAGGGAUUUACAGGUGUGCCAGCUGCUGUCAACCAAACCACGGUGCUCUGGGAUUCAAACAGCACUAAGGAGUCAACCUGCUGUGUGCCACAGCAUCUGGAGCUGCCUCAGGGUACUUUGGUGGGAGCCCUUCAAACCUUUAUGUUCAGAACAGCACCUAUGUCAUAAGGACUUCAUAAAAUCCCAUUUAAAUUACUCCAUUCUGUACUACAGCCUUGAAGGUCGUGCUGCUGCUGUUGUGCUUCUGAGUCCUAGUGCUAGAAAUGAAAAGAAUUGACACCAAGGAAAGGCCCAAAGCUGCACUCUGCUCCUGACAGCUUCUCUUUACACCUCUGUUUUUCCUCUGAGCAUGUUCCAGUGUCUCUGCACUCCCAGUCCGCCUGCAGCAGCUGGGGCCAGCCAAAGCAGGUUCUCGUAGCCUGGCGUUCCUUCUGGGAGCUUCUCACAGCACAAGCAACCUCCUUUCCAGCAGAUCACAGGUGUUCUUCACAUGAUGUGAGCAGUCUGGGAGAGGAAAUUCUGCAAAUCCACUCUGGACUCAGGGAAGGGAGGUUGUACCAAGUUUUCUGUACUGAGAGAAAAUACAAAAGUGAGACUCAAAGAACUUCACAGAGGAGCAGAGGAGCUCCGUAUCAUUAUGCGCGUUAUACAGAGGCAUGAAAUGACCUGUCUGGUGUUGUUCAGUAGGUCAGCAACAGGCCUGGACCUGGAACCUGCAUCUUCUGAGCGCACAUUCCAACUGCUGAAGGCUCCCCUUUGCAAUCAUGCCUGAUUGAGCAUUACCAGGAAAUCAGAAAUGUGAAGCCAGACUGGUACUGAGCAGUACAACCUAAGCUUUUUACAGACUGAAGAUCUUUCAGUUAGUGGGUCUCAGCACCAUCAGCUGGUACUGCUUAAAGAGAUGACAUGGCUUUUCUCUGGGAACAAGGUGUGUGCACACCAAAAAAGCACCACAGAGGAACUGGGGCCUUGGCAGGACCAGGAGGGUGCCCAGAGCAGCUCUGCAAGGAAAGUGAGUGCCUUCACUCCUCUGUCAUCACCAGUCCCUGAGAGCCAUCACCACCCACCAACAGUUCCUUGAGAUAAGGCCGAGCCAGCUGGGAGAAGAAAGCCUUUGAUAUUCCCUGCCUUGCUGAGCACAGCACGGGAUCAGCAGGGAGAGGCGGCUCUGUCGUGGAGGAUCCAGGAGCUCGGCGUGCGUGUCUGAGCCUGCAGCUGCGAGCCGCAGCAGGACCCAAGGUCUGCACACGCCUGUGUACAGAAGAAUGAUGCGAGAACAGAAAAGUUGCAAUGGCAUUGCAGUUCCCUGCACAGAAAAUAGCCAGGGAGGUGAAGCACGGCCCAGUGGUGCCGUUCGACUGCGCCCCGACUGGGAGCAUCAGGUUCAUUCCCAUUGUGAUCUGCAAAUGGCAAAUCAGGGUUGCUCUUCAUUAAAACCAAAAGCGCUCUCAGAAUGUUGAUGGAGGUGAUGAUUGCAGGGGCGAUGCUUCUGAAGAAUAGCUCCCCCAUCUUCCCCAGGGCCUGGGCAGAGAGAGGUGGAGCUUGGCCACAGGGCAGUACAAGCACUUCCCAAGAGCAGCUGGUGAAGAUGGCGCAGAAGCAAUGACAAGAGUGCAGUGAAAAGUUUGGUGCAUCGAUCCAGCUUCCGGACAUGCUCCGUGUGAUCUGCCCAAGAACAACGUGUGCACCAGGCUGUUACCGCUCUCUGCAGGGUGAAACACCUUCAGCCAAGGAGUCUUCAAAAUCCUUUCCUCCUCCUAAAGGCUCUGCGGCUCUUCAUUCUGUAGAAGAGCCUCUAUUAACCUUCACUAGCAGAAUGAAGCAUCUUCAGUUUCAAAACUCCCACACGCAGACCCCAAGCAUCUACUGUGGCCUGGAGGCCCUCUGGCAUGGGAGAGGAAAGAAUCUGCACCUGCGCCAUCCACGCUCUCACUCGAUGGGGAAAUUGUCAUGAUAUUAUUGAGGCGUGUCCUCAAUGUGUCUCUUAUUGCCUUGCCACUCGUGAAGCCCGAGGCUGUCUUGUCCUUGUUUGCCUUUCUGAUGUGGACGAGCUGAACUGCCAAGCGAUGAGGAAUUUGGUGCUCUCUGUGGAGGGCCAUCCUGUAAAAUUUCUGUUAUUAUGGCUCUGCUCCAUAAAGAAUGACAUGGCCUGAUUGUCAGAAAUUUUUAUUUCUGCAAUAGUGUAAAAAUAUUUGAGUUUUAAGACUAUUUAUUAUUUCAAAAAGAGAAAAUAUUUUAAAGUUUUAAGUGAUAGCUAAAAUUACACCUGAAAGCUAGAAAGAGCAAAUACAUAGAAUACUUCUCCCUCUUUGUAGAAUUGCAUUCAAAAAUAUGUUUUCAUUCAAAAAUAAGCUGAUGGGGAUGUGCUUUUAUGUCUUUAGUGACCUUUACAAAUUUACUCCUCAGGUUUUUUGAGUUCAUAGAAUCAUGGAAUAAUUCAGGCAGGAAGGGACUCCAAAGAUCACCUGAUUCCAAGCCUGCUGCCGUGGGCAGGGACAUCUUUCCCUAGAGCAGCUUGCUCAGAGCCUCAUCCCAGAGCAGCAAUGGGCCUUGAACACUUCCAGGCGUGGGGCAGCCGCAGCAUCUCUGAGCAACCUGUGCCAGCCAGGUGCCAGAGGAGGCAGAAAGCCCUUCCCACCCGGAGCAGAGGCCGCUGCAGCUUCGUGCAGCCUCGUGUCACCGAGCGUGCGAGACAGAAAGGCCCUUCCCGUGGAGGGAUAGCAGCACCCAAAGAUCUUUUUUGGGAAAAGCAGAGCGAUGGAACACCAAAGUAGCCUUCAGUUCUUCAGCAGCCAAUUUUGAAGCGCUCACCAGAGAUCUGCCAGAGAUCUGGGAGGAAAAGCAGAGCCAAGCACUGAGAACUGACGUGUGAGCCCUGGUGAGGACUGCCGCUCCCUCUGCCUUGGUGUGGGACCUCCUGAGCUCCCAUUCCGAUGCUGGGAGUGUUUCUCCUCUCAUCCAGCCAAGCCAGAGACCUCCUAGGGAACAAGCAGGUCAGCACGAAGACUGAACGUGUAAGAAGAUGUGGGGUGCAAUGGAGAACCUGGCAGGAGCAUCCGACGCACACGUGCACGAGUUUUGCUUUUUGCUUGGAUUGAAACUCAAAAGUUGUAAGGAAUUUGGGAAUGAGAUGGGACGUUUCAGAAGAAGAGGAAGGAGGAGAAGAGGAAGUUGUUGUUACAGUCCUGGCAAAAUCUUUUGUUCUAGCUAAUAAAAGAAGUUAAAAAAAAAAAAAGCAAAAAAA